rnacentral:rRNA from 1 species
UACAGAGGUCCCAAGCGUUGUUCGGAUUUACUGGGCGUAAAGGGUGCGUAGGUGGCGAGAUAAGUCUGAUGUGAAAUCUCCGAGCUUAACUCGGAAAAGGCGUUGGAUACUAUCCUGCUAGAGGGUCGGAGGGGAGACUGGAAUUCUCGGUGUAGCAGUGAAAUGCGUAGAUAUCGAGAGGAACACCAGUGGCGAAGGCGAGUCUCUGGACGACUCCUGACACUGAGGCACGAAAGCUAGGGGAGCGAAACAGG